CCAGGCUCUACGGGGCGCAGCAGGCGCGAAAACUGUGCAAUGCGCGAAAGCGCGACACGGGGAACCUGAGUGCCUUGACACAGUCAAGGCUUUUAUCAAGCCUAAAAAGCUUGAUGAAUAAGAGCUGGGUAAGACGGGUGCCAGCCGCCGCGGUAACACCCGCAGCUCUAGUGGUGGUCACUUUUAUUGAGCCUAAAGCGUUCGUAGCCGGUUCUGUAAAUCUUCAGAUAAAUUCAUUCGCUCAACGGAUGAUCUUCUGAAGAGACUGUAGAACUUGGGACCGGGUGAGGUUGAAUGUACUUCCGGGGUAGGGGUAAAAUCCUGUAAUCCUGGAAGGACAACCGGUGGCGAAGGCGUUCAACUAGAACGGAUCCGACGGUGAGGAACGAGGGCUAGGGGAGCAAACCGGAUUAGAUACCCGGGUAGUCCUAGCUGUAAACACUGCCCACUUGGUGUUGCCUCUCUGUUGAAGGGGGGCAGUGCCGGAGCGAAGGUGUUAAGUGGGCCGCUUGGGGAGUAUGGUCGCAAGGCUGAAACUUAAAGGAAUUGGCGGGGGAGCACCGCAACGGGAGGAGCGUGCGGUUUAAUUGGAUUCAACGCCGGAAAACUCACCGGGAGCGACCUUUGGAUGAGAGUCAACCUGAUGAGUUUACUCGAUAGAAGGAGAGGUGGUGCAUGGCCGUCGUCAGCUCGUACCGUAGGGCGUUCACUUAAGUGUGAUAACGAGCGAGACCCCCAUCUCUAAUUGCAAGUAUGUCUUUGCGGACAUGCGCACUUUAGAGGGACCGCCAGCGCUAAGCUGGAGGAAGGAGGGGUCGACGGCAGGUCAGUACGCCCCGAAUCUCCCGGGCUACACGCGCGCUACAAAGGACAGGACAAUGAGUUGCAACCUCGAAAGGGGGAGCUAACCUCGAAACCUGUUCGUAGUUAGGAUUGAGGGCUGUAACUCGCCCUCAUGAAUGUGGAUUCCGUAGUAAUCGCGGGUCAACAGCCCGCGGUGAAUAUGCCCCUGCUCCUUGCACACACCGCCCGU
rnacentral:rRNA from 1 species